GCUAAAGUGGUGUAGUGGGAGCAUGUCCCGUGGCGAUCUUUCAGAUCGUUAGGUACCCUUACUUAAGGGGGCGGGAGACCCGGGUUCGAUUCCCGGCUUUAGAU